rnacentral:sRNA from 1 species
GGGGCGGGGGGGGGGGGGUGAUGAGAACCUCCGGGGGCAGGAGGUUCGACUCGAGCGAAGCGAGAGAACGUUGCGUCAGCAACGGCCCGCAGGGCGAGCCACGAAGUGGUGAGUCAUCCUCUAUCACCGACCA